AGUAGUUUGAUCAGUGGCUCGAGGACGAACGCUGGCGGCGUGCUUAACACAUGCAAGUCGAACGGGGCGAUUGAAAGCUUGCUUUUAUGAGCCUAGUGGCAAACGGGUGAGUAACGCGUGGGCAACCUGCCGGAAAGAUGGGGACAACAUCCCGAAAGGGGUGCUAAUACCGAAUGUUGUAUAUAAGGCGCAUGCCUUGUAUAUUAAAGGAUCUAAUCCGCUUUCCGAUGGGCCCGCGUCCGAUUAGCUAGUUGGGGGGGUAGAGGCCCACCAAGGCGACGAUCGGUAGCCGGCCUGAGAGGGUGAACGGCCACAUUGGGACUGAGACACGGCCCAGACUCC
rnacentral:rRNA from 1 species